rnacentral:rRNA from 1 species
GAUGAACGCUGGCGGCGUGCCUAAUACAUGCAAGUCGAGCGAACUGACGAGAAGCUUGCUUCUCUGAUGUUAGCGGCGGACGGGUGAGUAACACGUGGACAACCUACCUAUAAGACUGGGAUAACUUCGGGAAACCGGAGCUAAUACCGGAUAAUAUUUUGAACCGCAUGGUUCAAAAGUGAAAGACGGCCUUGCUGUCACUUAUAGAUGGAUCCGCGCUGCAUUAGCUAGUUGGUAAGGUAACGGCUUACCAAGGCAACGAUGCAUAGCCGACCUGAGAGGGUGAUCGGCCACACUGGAACUGAGACACGGUCCAGACUCCUACGGGAGGCAGCAGUAGGGAAUCUUCCGCAAUGGGCGAAAGCCUGACGGAGCAACGCCGCGUGAGUGAUGAAGGUCUUCGGAUCGUAAAACUCUGUUAUUAGGGAAGAACAUAUGUGUAAGUAACUGUGCACAUCUUGACGGUACCUAAUCAGAAAGCCACGGCUAACUACGUG